UGGCUCAGUGGCUAAGAGCACUGACUGCUCUUCCAGAGGUCCUGGGUUCAAAUCCCAG
rnacentral:tRNA from 1 species